UCAAACUUGGUCAUUUAGAGGAAGUAAAAGUCGUAACAAGGUUUCCGUAGGUGAACCUGCGGAAGGAUCAUUCAUAAUAAGUGUAUAAUGGCACUUUUUAAUCCAUUACCCACCUUGUGUGCAAUGUCGAAGAAAGGAAUAAAAGGGGGGGAUAAAAAUUUUUUUAUUCCUCGUCUUUUUUUUUUCUUCAAUUAUUCACUCAAAUUCUUCAGUAUCAGUCUACUUGUAAUGAGUAUAAAAAAACUCUAAUACAACUUUCAACAACGGAUCUCUUGGCUCUCGCAUCGAUGAAGAACGCAGC
rnacentral:misc_RNA from 1 species